rnacentral:misc_RNA from 1 species
ACUCACUGAGACCAGUGGCGCCGUGGUAUGUGCUGCGUGCCUGCUGCCAACGCGCUGCGCCUCAUCCGUGCUACAAGCUCACACACGGAAAGUCACAGGGUCCUCGGUCUCACGACCUGCUGUGUCGCCCUCAUCUCUUAUCUGCCCCCCGCCCUCUCCGCCGUCGCGAACGGUAUCCGCUGCUUCUAGCCUGCACUCGCUGCUUCAAGUAAUGGCAGCCGUCCCGCUGCAUGCUGUUCAGACCCCCUCUAAGGUCCUCCUGCCGGGCUUCGUGAGGAAAGCGGCGCCGGUCUUCUUUGUGGUGAUGCAUGGCUUCUUGGCCCACAGCGGCGCGAUGAACUCUUUUGUUGUCAUCCUGCGCAGCGCCCUCGACGCGCACAAUCGCGCUGUGCUGGAAUCGAACGACCAGACUUCAGUGGCGCUGCCGUUCCACAUCACCACGCUCGACGCGCGCAACCACGGCCUGUCGCCGCACACCUCGACACACAGCUCGGAGAACCUCGUGGAGGAUCUCAGCUACUACCUGGACCACGACUUUCCACGCACAGUGUCUCGUGUCUCAGAGGCAUGGAUGCGGGACGGCAGCGAUCACAGCUACGGCGACGUGGCUUGCCCGCGCGUCGUAGCGAUUGGCCAUAGCAUGGGCAGCCUUACAUGGACGCAAUACCUCAUGGACCGCUACUUCCCUUCCCUAGCGAGCAACGAAAAAGUUCAAGGGUCAGAAUUAUCGUCAACUACAGCGACAUCGACGUCGAGCAAUGUCUCCUCCUCUGCGCGAUCUUCUCUUGACGUGAAAGGGCUUGUGAGUCUUGACUUACCGCCUAUCGUGCGCUCAAACAUGACAGCAAAUCUGACCGGUGAGCUCAUCGGCAUCAUCGAGCAUAUGAAGGCUGUGAAUCUGAGCGCAAUCUCUGACCUUCGGAGUGGGCAAGAGGAGUUCUACCGCUGUGGCAUGCACGAUAUCCGUGUGCGGGGACUAUGUACGACGAACUUGGCGCUGCAACGCGACCCCAACGAUCCCACGCGACGCAUUGCGAGUUGGAAAUGCAACGUGCCCGUGCUUGAGCACUCCAUCCGCUCUGGUGAGCUUUUCUUACCCGAUUUGUACUACAAGCCAGCCGGAGGCGGAAAAGGCUCCGUUGGCACGCAUGAUUCACAGGAACAGAAGCAGAGGCGGCACCGGUUAGCGCUGGAGUAUCCCUCGGUCGGCACGGUUCCAGUGUUGUCGGUGCUCGGAGCUGCCAGCCCAGUGGGAGGCGACCCGCAGUAUCAGCAGCUAUGGGAGCGCUACGCCAUCGACCUGCGGCAGCACUCCAUUCCGCAUGCGACGCACACGGUGUACUUCGACAAGCCCCACAAGACUGUAGAGCUCGUAACGAACUUUUUGAAAGAGAUUCAUGUAGACCAGCCCCUGUGAGUGUGUGUAUGUGUGUGUGUGUGUGUGUGGAAGCAAAAAAAAAACGUGUAUGGGAACGCGUCGUCUUCCAGUAAAGGCGAACCGAAAGCAAGCGUGGCUGCUCCUUAGUAUAAGAGCUAGAGAGAGAGGCGGUGGUGGUGGCGGCACGCCAGAGAAACAAGGAAGCCGAGGCCCAGUCAUGCUAUCCGCUUACACCGAAGUGCUUCGGUGAGGAAAGGGGUCUGCAGUUCGGCAUUGCGUGUUUCCGACCCCCUCCCACGUCAGCUCUCUCCAUCUCUCUGCUUUCUGUAAUCGCGUUUGAGCUGGCGUGGCAACAAUCACCUGCUCGCCUUCUCCUCUGCGUGUGUGUGCGCACGCCUCUCUCUCUCGUGGUGUCACGCAACGCGCAGGCGCAUGCCCACCUAUGCACAUAUGGGACCUUGUUCUCUCCUUUACGGUCCCCCUCUGUCUUUCGUUCUCCCAUUCGACCUUUCUGGCUGCUCAUGAUCGACGGCAUGUGGGCACACACGCACCCACCAACACGCAUGCACAG